rnacentral:rRNA from 1 species
AUUGAACGCUGGCGGCAGGCCUAACACAUGCAAGUCGAGCGGUAGCACAGAGAGCUUGCUCUCGGGUGACGAGCGGCGGACGGGUGAGUAAUGUCUGGGAAACUGCCUGAUGGAGGGGGAUAACUACUGGAAACGGUAGCUAAUACCGCAUAACGUCGCAAGACCAAAGUGGGGGACCUUCGGGCCUCAUGCCAUCAGAUGUGCCCAGAUGGGAUUAGCUAGUAGGUGGGGUAAUGGCUCACCUAGGCGACGAUCCCUAGCUGGUCUGAGAGGAUGACCAGCCACACUGGAACUGAGACACGGUCCAGACUCCUACGGGAGGCAGCAGUGGGGAAUAUUGCACAAUGGGCGCAAGCUUGACGCAGCCAUGCCGCGUGUGUGAAGAAGGCCUUCGGGUUGUAAAGCACUUUCAGCGGGGAGGAAGGCGAUAAGGUUAAUAACCUUGUCGAUUGACGUUACCCGCAGAAGAAGCACCGGCUAACUCCGUGCCAGCAGCCGCGGUAAUACGGAGGGUGCAAGCGUUAAUCGGAAUUACCGGGCGUAAAGCGCACGCAGGCGGUCUGUCAAGUCGGAUGUGAAAUCCCCGGGCUCAACCUGGGAACUGCAUUCGAAACUGGCAGGCUAGAGUCUUGUAGAGGGGGGUAGAAUUCCAGGUGUAGCAGUGAAAUGCGUAGAGAUCUGGAGGAAUACCGGUGGCGAAGGCGGCCCCCUGGACAAAGACUGACGCUCAGGUGCGAAAGCGUGGGGAGCAAACAGGAUUAGAUACCCUGGUAGUCCACGCCGUAAACGAUGUCGAUUUGGAGGUUGUGCCCUUGAGGCGUGGCUUCCGGAGCUAACGCGUUAAAUCGACCGCCUGGGGAGUACGGCCGCAAGGUUAAAACUCAAAUGAAUUGACGGGGGCCCGCACAAGCGGUGGAGCAUGUGGUUUAAUUCGAUGCAACGCGAAGAACCUUACCUGGUCUUGACAUCCACAGAACUUUCCAGAGAUGGAUUGGUGCCUUCGGGAACUGUGAGACAGGUGCUGCAUGGCUGUCGUCAGCUCGUGUUGUGAAAUGUUGGGUUAAGUCCCGCAACGAGCGCAACCCUUAUCCUUUGUUGCCAGCGGUUAGGCCGGGAACUCAAAGGAGACUGCCAGUGAUAAACUGGAGGAAGGUGGGGAUGACGUCAAGUCAUCAUGGCCCUUACGACCAGGGCUACACACGUGCUACAAUGGCAUAUACAAAGAGAAGCGACCUCGCGAGAGCAAGCGGACCUCAUAAAGUAUGUCGUAGUCCGGAUUGGAGUCUGCAACUCGACUCCAUGAAGUCGGAAUCGCUAGUAAUCGUAGAUCAGAAUGCUACGGUGAAUACGUUCCCGGGCCUUGUACACACCGCCCGUUACACCAUGGGAGUGGGUUGCAAAAGAAGUAGGUAGCUUAACCUUCGGGAGGGCGCUUACCACUUUGUGAUUCAUGACUGGGGUGA